rnacentral:rRNA from 1 species
GACGAACGCUGGCGGCGUGCCUAAUACAUGCAAGUCGAACGCUGAAGGAGGAGCUUGCUCUUCUGGAUGAGUUGCGAACGGGUGAGUAACGCGUAGGUAACCUGCCUGGUAGCGGGGGAUAACUAUUGGAAACGAUAGCUAAUACCGCAUAAGAGUAGAUGUUGCAUGACAUUUACUUAAAAGGUGCAAUUGCAUCACUACCAGAUGGACCUGCGUUGUAUUAGCUAGUUGGUGGGGUAACGGCUUACCAAGGCGACGAUACAUAGCCGACCUGAGAGGGUGAUCGGCCACACUGGGACUGAGACACGGCCCAGACUCCUACGGGAGGCAGCAGUAGGGAAUCUUCGGCAAUGGACGGAAGUCUGACCGAGCAACGCCGCGUGAGUGAAGAAGGUUGUCGGAUCGUAAAGCUCUGUUGUAAGAGAAGAACGAGUGUGAGAGUGGAAAGUUCACACUGUGACGGUAUCUUACCAGAAAGGGACGGCUAACUACGUG